rnacentral:rRNA from 1 species
AGUCGAGGGGCAGCACAAGGAGCAAUCUGAGGUGGCGACCGGCGCACGGGUGAGUAACACGUAUGCAACCUACCUUCUACUAUGGGAUAACCCGUUGAAAGACGGACUAAUACCGUGUAAUACAGGGGCUCCGCAUGGAGAUAUUUGUUAAAGAUUUAUUGGUAGAAGAUGGGCAUGCGUAUGAUUAGAUAGUUGGUGAGGUAACGGCUCACCAAGUCUUCGAUCAUUAGGGGUUCUGAGGGGAAGGUCCCCCACACUGGUACUGAGACACGGACCAGACUCCUACGGGAGGCAGCAGUGAGGAAUAUUGGACAAUGGAUGGAAAUCUGAUCCAGCCAUGCCGCGUGCAGGAAGACGGCCCUAUGGGUUGUAAACUGCUUUUGUAUGGGAGCAAUAAGGUCUAUGCGUAGACUGAUGAGAGUACCAUACGAAUAAGCAUCGGCUAACUCCGUGCCAGCAGCCGCGGUAAUACGGGGGAUGCAAGCGUUAUCCGGAUUUAUUGGGUUUAAAGGGUGCGUAGGCGGUUUGAUAAGUCAGCGGUGAAAUAUUUCAGCUUAACUGAAAGGGUGCCGUUGAUACUGUCAGGCUUGAAUAUGGUUGCUGUGGGUGGAAUGUGUGGUGUAGCGGUGAAAUGCUUAGAUAUCACACAGAAUAUCGAUUGCGAAGGCAGCUCACAAAGCCAUUAUUGACGCUGAUGCACGAAAGUGUGGGGAUCAAACAGGAUUAGAUACCCUGGUAGUCCACACUGUAAACGAUGAUAACUCGCUGUCGGCGAUACACAGUCGGUAGCCAAGCGAAAGCGAUAAGUUAUCCACCUGGGGAGUACGACCGCAAGGUUGAAACUCAAAGGAAUUGACGGGGGCCCGCACAAGCGGAGGAACAUGUGGUUUAAUUCGAUGAUACGCGAGGAACCUUACCCGGGCUCGAACGGUGCAGGAAUAUGACAGAGAUGUUAUAGCUAGCAAUAGUCUGUAUCGAGGUGCUGCAUGGUUGUCGUCAGCUCGUGCCGUGAGGUGUCGGCUUAAGUGCCAUAACGAGCGCAACCCUUGUCGUUAGUUGCCAUCAGGUAAUGCUGGGAACUCUAGCGAGACUGCCACCGUAAGGUGUGAGGAAGGGGGGGAUGACGUCAAAUCAGCACGGCCCUUACGUCCGGGGCGACACACGUGUUACAAUGGUAGGUACAGAGGGCAGCUACCCAGCAAUGGGGUGCGAAUCUCAAAAGCCUAUCUCAGUUCGGAUCGGAGUCUGCAACUCGACUCCGUGAAGU